rnacentral:rRNA from 1 species
GAUGAACGCUGGCGGCGUGCCUAAUACAUGCAAGUCGAGCGAACGGACGAGAAGCUUGCUUCUCUGAUGUUAGCGGCGGACGGGUGAGUAACACGUGGAUAACCUACCUAUAAGACUGGGAUAACUUCGGGAAACCGGAGCUAACACCGGAUAAUAUUUUGAACCGCAUGGUUCAAAAGUGAAAGACGGUCUUGCUGGCACUUAUAGAUGGAUCCGCGCUGCAUUAGCUAGUUGGGAAGGUAAGGGCUUACCAAGGCAACGAUGCAUAGCCGACCUGAGCGGGUGUUCAGGCACCCUGGACCUGAGACACGGUCCGGACUCCUCCGGGAGGCAGCAGUGCGGAAUCUUCCGCAAUGGGCGAAAGCCUGACGGAGCCCCGCCGCGUGAGUGAUGAAGGUCUUCGGAUCGUAAAACUCUGUUAUUAGGGAAGAACAUAUGUGUAAGUAACUGUGCACAUCUUGACGGUACCUAAUCAGAAAGCCCCGGCUAACUACGUG